rnacentral:lncRNA from 1 species
UUUGAUUUUGGAGAUCGUGGGCGGCUGGAGCCGAGCAAGAUCAGGCCAUUCAUGGUGAGCAUGCUGGCCGGCGGCAGCAGGGACGGUAAUUGAUUCCUUUACCUGAAGUGAACCAAACAAAUUUAAGAAAAACUCACUGCACCUCCUUAAACGGUGUGAUCUGAUUACAUUUACCAUUGCCGUUACCAUUUGUGUAGCCAAACACCUCCUAUGUGAUUUUGGUUUGCACAACCAAAAAUAUCAGUAAUAGUUGUAGGCUUAAACCAAUCCCAAUCCACAACUCUCCGUCACAAGAAUUUUCAACCGAUUCUACACAUGAGGAACAUCCAAACAUCCAAUUCAAACACAUGAACCUGCGCGGACGAAAUUGAUUCAAGUAAUACCGACAUGAGCAGAACAAAUUCCGAUCGCAUAUCCAUGGUUCAUUGAAAUGAUGAUUCAGUUGUCCAGGCAGAACGACACAACCAGGCCAGCUCGAAUAAAUCCCACAAUUUGCAGGGUCUGGUUAACAACUCACAAAGAAAUUGUCACAAAUCCUAAGGUACCAGCACUCCCAUUAGGCGCAAGUACAAAGUCACUACACCGAGUGGCUCGAUUCUAGCAUACGCGCAAGUUUCUGAAUUUCCCAAGUAAAAGCAGCACGAGUGAGCAGGCAGCCCUAUCGAAGUUCCAAACAUAGACAUACUAUAUAAGUGUGUAUGUACCGAACGAGCAGCAUACCAAGAGAAAGGGAAGGAGGGGAAGAGAAAAGGAGGUGUUGGU